GGGUUAAUAGCUCCAUGGUAGAGCACGUGCUUAGCACGCAUGAGGUCCUGGGUUCAGUCCCUGGUACCUCCA
rnacentral:tRNA from 1 species